rnacentral:misc_RNA from 1 species
GCAAACUUGGUCAUUUAGAGGAAGUAAAAGUCGUAACAAGGUUUCCGUAGGUGAACCUGCGGAAGGAUCAUUACCGAGUUAGGGUUCCAUCUCGUUAAAACAGAACGGGCCCGACCUCCCAACCCUUUGCUUACUUGACCUUUUGUUGCUUCGGCAGGCCCGCCUCCGGGCCGCCGGGAGUCGUUCAUUCACUCCUGGCCAGCUUUGCCUGCCGACGGCCCCAAAUCUCAAAACUCUUGUUUAUAAAACGUGUCGUCUGAGUACUUGUUUUAAACACAAAAAUUAAAAACAAAACUUUCAACAACGGAUCUCUUGGUUCUGGCAUCGAUGAAGAACGCAGC